AUAAAAAACCAAUGCCCUUCGGGGCUCCUUGGUGAAUCAUAAUAACUUAACGAAUCGCAUGGCCUUGCGCCGGCGAUGGUUCAUUCAAAUUUCUGCCCUAUCAACUUUCGAUGGUAGGAUAGUGGCCUACCAUGGUGGCAACGGGUAACGGGGAAUUAGGGUUCGAUUCCGGAGAGGGAGCCUGAGAAACGGCUACCACAUCCAAGGAAGGCAGCAGGCGCGCAAAUUACCCAAUCCCGACACGGGGAGGUAGUGACAAUAAAUACUGAUACGGGGCUCUUUUGGGUCUCGUAAUUGGAAUGAGUACAAUCUAAAUCCCUUAACGAGGAACAAUUGGAGGGCAAGUCUGGUGCCAGCAGCCGCGGUAAUUCCAGCUCCAAUAGCGUAUAUUAAAGUUGUUGCAGUUAAAAAGCUCGUAGUUGAACCUUGGGUCUGGCUGGCCGGUCCGCCUCACCGCGAGUACUGGUCCGGCUGGGACCUUUCCCUUCUGGGGAAAUCUCAUGGCCCUUCACUGGGCUGUGGGGGGAACCCAGGGACUUUUUUACAUUCCAUUAUUGAACCUAGUUAG
rnacentral:rRNA from 1 species